rfam:Erinaceus europaeus unplaced genomic scaffold scaffold00027, whole genome shotgun sequence
AUCUACGAACAUACCACCCUGAACAUGCCCGAUCUCAUCUGAUCUCGGAAGCUAAGCAGGGUAAGGCCUGAUUAGUACUUGGAUGGGAGGGGGAGAGAGACAGAGGGUCACCCACAGCAC